CCUAUGAAAAGAUGACCCACUUCUUUCCUACAUAAUCUAUAACAAUCAGGGCAUAAACAUUCAUUCUAAAGGUGACAGAUUUUUUAAGGAUCAUUCACCAUCUAGAGUUUAAAUAAUGUUGUUUGGGGUUCUUCUUGUGUCCAUGGUAACAGAGGAGCAGGUGUGAGGCAACAAGAAGCACAUCAGAACAAACCAAGACUUCGCUGAUUUCCAGCUUGUAGCUCUGAAUGAGAGAUGGACUUGAGACUUCUUUGGGCCAUUUCUGCUCAUGUUUUCUCUACUUAUUUACGUUAAAUUGAGCCAAAAUGUGGUGUGGUAAAGUAAUGGUGACUAAUCCUAUUAUAGACUUCUUCAAAAGGGCCAGAAGAGUUAGUCUGAAUUACCUACUCUACUUUUAUUGGAGGAAGAACUCUUUUAAAACUUGCAUUCUGAUGGAACAUAUUAAUAAUUAGUUGAAGUAGAAAAUAUCAUACACUGCAAGGGAUCAUAAAGGAAUCUAAUUUGACUCAUGGAGGACUAGUACAAGCUUCAGUGUGAUUCCCCAGGAAAAUCUUGGAAAUUGCCAAUAGAGAAGAUGUAUUACUAAGUAUCAGAAGUUUUCUUGGAAGGACAUCUAAUAAGUUUCCCAAGAUGUGAUUCUGCCUGUUCAGUAGUUGCUUGAGUGCUGAUGAAAUUCCCCCCAAACACUUCCUAAUAUAUUAUUGAAAUAUUUGAGAUAAAGGAAAGCUGAACAUAUUAAAACUAAUUUUUAAGUGGUGAGAGAAGUGGAAUUGAAGUCUAUUUGAGGAAUUUGAAACAUUUAUCACCCACGGUUUUUCCAAAAAUAUACAUUUGUGUCAGUCUGUCAAACUUUUUAUCAAAAAAAACUGUGAAUUAUCCAUUUAAAAUACAUUUUUAUUACAUUUUCUUCUGUAUCUGAGAAAUAUGCCAGAUGGUAGAAAUUUCCUAGAAGUCUCUGACACUUACAGAUUGAAAGAUGAAUGACGAGAAGACAAGAAUUUGGGUAUCCAGAUUAAUAGAUAGAACUUUACAACUAUUGACUUCUUAUUUGCUCUUGUUGAGUUUUGAAAAGGAAUUAGGCAAGGUAGAUGAAAAUAGAGAUUCUUCUCCCUUCAGUACCCAUGUGAUUUAACACAGCCAUAGAAGGCUCCAAGUUUUGGGGUGUGGGCACAAUUUCAAAGAUAUAUUUCUAUUAAGCUUCUUGAGAGUGAUAUGAAGAAGAAACGAAGUAUAGAGUCUCUCAGAUGCAAAAAUCACUUAGAGGUAGGCCAUGUAUCCAUCCUUAUCACACUUCACUUUUUCCAAGAACUACGACUGGCUUGUCUUUUAUGGCUUUUUAAGAAUCUAACUUCAUUGUGUAAUCAGCUUAUUUCCUCUCCAUUAUUAAUGCCCUAAUUGGCAGGUUUUCUGACCCAUUUUCUUUUCUGUGAUGCUCUUCUAGAUGUCUAAACUUUUCAUAUCACAACAUGGAUUUAGGUAGUUUUUCAGUAAUAAAAGUUGGUGUGAAUAUGCAGUAGUAUGUGGAUUAAUUAACAUACAU
rnacentral:lncRNA from 1 species